rnacentral:lncRNA from 1 species
CUCCGUUGUAGCGCCUACUUUCGGAGUAUGGAGCCUCGAAUAGUUCCAAACAACCAUUUUACGGCGUAGGAGAUCAUCCAUUUCCAUUGCUGGCCGUCGAGUAACUUCUGAGUUGCCUUAUUAGGUCCUCCAGUCGCCCCAUCAGUCCCUGGCAGUCUGGUCCCUGGAGCAGCUGGCCCUGGAUCACCUGCACCUGGAUCACCUGCCCCUGGAUCACCUGCCCCUGGAUCACCUGCCACUGGAUCACCUACCCCUGGAUCACCUGCCCCUGGAUCACCUGCCCCUGGAUCACCUGCCCCUGGCAAAGUGGCCUCUGGAUUGCUCUCUGUGUCUCCUGUCAUGUCCUUUUCAUCGCUCUUGAAAUCCACCUCAAUUUCUCCCUCAAUCUUUGUAAUAAUUACAAGGUAAUUUUGCUGUUAUAUGUAUUUUCCCUUUGCAUUUGCAACUACUGUCAUCUCCAAUGUAAGCCAAUGUAAGAACAUGUAUUAAAGCAAAUCAUUUCUGUAAUGUGAAUUAAAUCAUCUGCCACAAUCAGAAACCAAUAAAAUGUAUAAAUGGAUCUACCGGCAAUUGUUAAUUGGGUAGAAAUGUGUCGAUUAUCUACAUUGUGUGCAAAUCCUCAGAGAAUCCCUGACCUCUGGUUGUUUUUUAAACUGAAUGUACAAAUAUGAAUUAUGUAUUCUCAUUAGGAGUGUAGUCUAUCCUUGAAUUACAUGAAAUGGGGAAUAUUGUUAGCUGCAUGGAUCAUACCGAAGUUUAAUUUGGUGAAAUAUGUGUGGUCCGUUGCACUUGGUUCGGG